AGUGAACGCUGGCGGCAGGCCUAACACAUGCAAGUCGAACGGCAGCACAAGAGAGCUUGCUCUCUGGGUUUCGAGUGGCGGACGGGUGAGGAAUGCAUCGGAAUCUGCCCAUUUGUGGGGGAUAACCUCGGGAAACCGGGACUAAUACCGCAUACGACCUACGGGUGAAAGCAGGGGAUCUUCGGACCUUGCGCAGAUGGAUGAGCCGACGCCGGAUUAGCUAGUUGGAGGGGUAAAGGCCCACCAAGGCGACGAUCCGUAGCUGGUCUGAGAGGAUGAUCGGCCACACUGGGACUGAGACACGGCCCAGACUCCUACGGGAGGCAGCAGUGGGGAAUCUUGGACAAUGGGCGAAAGCCUGACCGAGCAAUGCCGCGUGUGUGAAGAAGGCCUUCGGGUUGUAAAGCACUGUUGUUGGGAAAGAAAAGAUGCCGGUUAAUCCACGGUUGUCAUGACGGUACCCAAAGAAUAAGCAACGGCUAACUUCGUG
rnacentral:rRNA from 1 species